rnacentral:rRNA from 1 species
UACGGGGGGGGGCAAGCGUUGUUCGGAAUUACUGGGCGUAAAGGGCUCGUAGGUGGCCAACUAAGUCGGAUGUGAAAUCCCCAGGCUCAACUUGGGAACUGCAUCCGAUACUGGAUGGCUUGAAUUCGGGAGAGGGAUGCAGAAUUCCAGGUGUAGCGGUGAAAUGCGUAGAUAUCUGGAGGAAUACCGGUGGCGAAGGCGGCAUCCUGGACCGACAUUGACGCUGAACGGCGAAAGCUAGGGGAGCAAACGGG